rnacentral:lncRNA from 1 species
AGUUCUCCGCAGCCGCUCGCCCGAGCCUUCUACUUGGCCAACACAGCUGCCUCUACCACCUCGCGUGCCCGGUUCGUGGGCUUUCAGUUACCAAGCAUGUCCUGAAGAUGAAGAUACUCUCAGCCUAACGUCUCCAAGCAAAUAUUGAUUCAGCAGUAUCCCCAGAGCAUUGUAACCCACAGGCAAAGCCACACCAUAUAUCAGUGAACAGAGAAACAACUGCCCUUCUCCGGGCCCCUGUCUGAGAAGCUGGAGCAUCAGCCCUGGAGCUCUCCGGAGCAGUUUCCUUGCUCACUGUCCCCAGCUGAACACAGCCGCAUGCAGAGGUCCAAAGCACGUAAACAGGAUACCCACCCUGCAUUAUCUUAUAUUUUAAGUCAAUAUGAAGAUGGACAUUCUACCCCUGAGACCAAUUUCGAUCAAAUACUUUUGUCAAUAAAAAGAUACUAAUGUC